AUUGAACGCUGGCGGCAUGCCUUACACAUGCAAGUCGAACGGUAACGGGCCUUCGGGUGCCGACGUGUGGCGAACGGGUGAGUAAUACAUCGGAACGUGCCCGAUCGUGGGGGAUAACGAGGCGAAAGCUUUGCUAAUACCGCAUACGAUCUACGGAUGAAAGCAGGGGACCGCAAGGCCUUGCGCGGACGGAGCGGCCGAUGGCAGAUUAGGUAGUUGGUGGGAUAAAAGCUUACCAAGCCGACGAUCUGUAGCUGGUCUGAGAGGAUGAUCAGCCACACUGGGACUGAGACACGGCCCAGACUCCUACGGGAGGCAGCAGUGGGGAAUUUUGGACAAUGGGCGCAAGCCUGAUCCAGCCAUGCCGCGUGCAGGAUGAAGGCCUUCGGGUUGUAAACUGCUUUUGUACGGAACGAAAAGCCUUCUUUUAAUACAGGAGGGUCAUGACGGUACCGUAAGAAUAAGCACCGGCUAACUACGUG
rnacentral:rRNA from 1 species